rnacentral:lncRNA from 1 species
GUCGAGCGUGACGGUGAAGGAGCCACCGGCCUGAGACUCCCAGACGUACUGGUCGUCGUCGUUGUGCUUGGUGGUGACGACGACCUUGUCGGCGACGAGGUAGGCGGAGUAGAAGCCGACCCCGAACUGGCCGAUCAUGGACACGUCGGUGGCGCCCGCCGCCAGCGCCUCCAUGAACUCCUUGGUGCCUGACCGCGCGAUGGUGCCCAGGUUGUUGACGAGGUCGGAUUUGGUCAUCCCCACGCCGGAGUCGAUGAUGGACAGCGUCUUGGUUGCCUUGUCUGGGACCAGCCGGAUGAAGAGCUCCGGCUGCGCGUCCAGCUUCGACUUGUCCGUCAGGCUCUCGAACCGGAUCUUGUCAAGCGCCUGCAAUGGCCAUUGCCCAUUGCCAUUGAUGAGAUUGGUGUUGGUUCAUCCGAGUGAAGCAGCAGAGCAUUUCGCGAAACAGAGCAGGCUGAAUGAGAUUGAAAUAAUAAUAAAAACAGAGGAUGGAUGGACUAUACUAUACUAUACUAUACAUACA